rnacentral:hammerhead_ribozyme from 1 species
AUCCAGCUGACAAGUCCCAAAUAGGACAAAACACACAUCCUGGAU